GCCGAGGUCUCGCCUGCUUCAACCGUAUGGUGAAACCACAUGAUCUCAUACUAGCCCCACGCAUUGCACUCAAAUGAUCUCAUAAAAAUGGACUGAUCUCUAGAAUAAGACGCAUAUACAGCGGGAAGAAUACCCCCGCUAAACUCAUAGCCCACCGUGCGUUGGGUCUAAAUAAUCUAUCUAUCAUCAAUCAAUUGGUGUUAUCCCAUUAAUAAUACUAAUCUAAACCACGGU